GAGUUUGAUCCUGGCUCAGGAUGAACGCUGGCGGCGUGCUUAACACAUGCAAGUCGAGCGAUGAAGUUUCCUUCGGGAAACGGAUUAGCGGCGGACGGGUGAGUAACACGUGGGUAACCUGCCUCAUAGAGUGGAAUAGCCUUCCGAAAGGAAGAUUAAUACCGCAUAAUGUUGAAAGAUGGCAUCAUCAUUCAACCAAAGGAGCAAUCCGCUACGAGAUGGACCCGCGGCGCAUUAGCUAGUUGGUGGGGUAACGGCCUACCAAGGCGACGAUGCGUAGCCGACCUGAGAGGGUGAUCGGCCACAUUGGGACUGAGACACGGCCCAGACUCCUACGGGAGGCAGCAGUGGGGAAUAUUGCACAAUGGGGGAAACCCUGAUGCAGCAACGCCGCGUGAGUGAUGAAGGUUUUCGGAUCGUAAAGCUCUGUCUUUGGGGAAGAUAAUGACGGUACCCAAGGAGGAAGCCACGGCUAACUACGUGCCAGCAGCCGCGGUAAUACGUAGGUGGCGAGCGUUAUCCGGAUUUACUGGGCGUAAAGGGAGCGUAGGCGGAUGAUUAAGUGGGAUGUGAAAUACCCGGGCUCAACUUGGGUGCUGCAUUCCAAACUGGUUAUCUAGAGUGCAGGAGAGGAGAGUGGAAUUCCUAGUGUAGCGGUGAAAUGCGUAGA
rnacentral:rRNA from 1 species